UGUCAUACUAGUCCAGAUGAGAGCAUGUUUUGAAAGACUUCCAGAUGUGGAGUUUGGGCCUGAAAGCCAACAGAAAAUAAAGCAGAAGGUCUUCAGUGAUUUCUGCAUCCCCCCUCAGCUGAAUGGCGUCCGCUUAUUGGGCUAGCUUAGAGACCGCAUCGGGAGCUGCUGCCUAGGGGUCACUCCUGGCACACGAGGAACCACUGAGAAGGGUGAGCACAAAGGGAGAGCAUUUGGCAAAAGCUCCGAGUGCCUGCAGAGAGCCUGGCAUGUGACUAUGGCCUCAGGGCCCGUUAAGCAGAUGAACAUCCAUCACAUUGAGAAUCACCCUGAAAGUGGGACACCACCAAGAGCCACAUACCACAUGUGCUUCCUAUCCUGGGGUAGAGAG